ACGGGUGAGUAAUGCAUCGGGACCUACCCAGACGUGGGGGAUAACCUCGGGAAACCGGGACUAAUACCGCAUACGUCCUACGGGAGAAAGCGGGGGACCUUCGGGCCUCGCGCGGCUGGACGGACCGAUGUGCGAUUAGCUAGUUGGUAGGGUAAUGGCCUACCAAGGCGACGAUCGCUAGCUGGUCUGAGAGGAUGAUCAGCCACACUGGGACUGAGACACGGCCCAGACUCCUACGGGAGGCAGCAGUGGGGAAUAUUGGACAAUGGGCGCAAGCCUGAUCCAGCAAUGCCGCGUGUGUGAAGAAGGCCUUCGGGUUGUAAAGCACUUUUAUCAGGAACGAAAUACCACGGGUUAAUAACCUAUGGGGCUGACGGUACCUGAGGAAUAAGCACCGGCUAACUUCGUGCCAGCAGCCGCGGUAAUACGAAGGGUGCAAGCGUUAAUCGGAAUUACUGGGCGUAAAGGGUGCGUAGGCGGUUCGUUAAGUCUGUCGUGAAAUCCCCGGGCUCAACCUGGGAAUGGCGAUGGAUACUGGCGAGCUAGAGUGUGUCAGAGGAUGGUGGAAUUCCCGGUGUA
rnacentral:rRNA from 2 species